UAUUGGCUGACGCUGUACACGUGAGCAGUACACUGCAUCCGGUUUUUUUUUUUUUUUUUUUUUGCGCACAAAAAGUAUUCUCGUAGGUUUGGAACAACAUGAGGGUUAGUAAUUAAUGACAGAAUUUUCAUUUUGGGGUGAACUAACCCUUUAAUCGUCGUUUUCAGCUGUCAAAUGUUCUGAAUAAUAACAGUGCUCUUCUUCUUCUUCUUCUUCUGUGGAUUUAUUGGCGGGUUGUAAACCAACUGGAAAGGUGCAUACCGCCACCUACUGUGCUGGAGUGUGACGAAGAUGAAAAAUCACGGUGCUCAUUCGGGCAAAUGCUUUAUAAAUGACCGCCAAUCUCACCAGUACUAGGUUCAUCUUUCUCAUGUCACUGCGCGCUGUCUUUUCAUAUUAACGGAAGUAUGGCGCCAUCUAUGGGCUCAAACGGUAACUGAUUGGAUUAAAAAUUUCUUUGGAUUGUUAUGAAGAACGUGAUCCUUUUGGUUGAUCACCAAGAGUCCCCAAGACACCGAAAACAUCGAAAGAACAAGGUACAGAACAGACCUGCUGCAACACACCAAAUGAGAACCACUGCAGAGAUGUAAACUAACCUGAAUCAUGCAAUAUAAUGCAGCUCCACACUAUGGACAAUGAAGAAGGUACAUGAAAGUACAGGGAAAGAGCAGAGGAGAACAGGACAGGGACAUGACCUUGGACCGAGGUGAACCCGGAUCCCUCUGUGUCACAGCACCAUUGACUAUUCUGUUGUAAGGAAACCUCCUGUAUUAUUAUCCUGGUUUCAAGUUCACCCAUCCCCAAUCAGACACAGGGGGGAGUUCACAUAAAACACGUUCUUGCGCUCUAAAACGGCUAGACAGAGCAAAACAUAAUGGAAUAGAGUGAGAGAAGAAUCUCAAGAUUUCUUUUUAAAAAUAAAAAAUAAAAUUUUAACCUGACAAACCAUUUUGAAAACUCAACAUUGUCGGAGCCAUAAGCUUGUGGGCAGCACUCCAACAUAUAGCGCAGCUGUACCUCAGGCAACCCGAGUUUCGAAUCCUGGCUUGUGGUCCUUUCCUGGUCCUGUUCCUUUCUCUCCUCUCCAAUUGUUUCCUGUCUAUCUCUAUAGUCCCAUAAAAUAAUCUAAAAAUAAUAGUUAACAUCAUUAUUCAACUAGACUUUAACACUUUUUAGCAGCAGUGCUUUAAUUAGCAUUCUGACAGAAUGCUAAUCGACUGGUCAAUUAGUCAACAACUGUGACCCAUCCCUAAUGUAAGCUAAAUAUAAAGCACAAACCCUUAUCAUGCUCCAUAUUAAAGGCCAUAAACUUGUGCUAGUCUGGAGUACAUUAUUUACACAAUAGGGUGGCCAAAUCCGACUUGUAAAGUGAGCAAUAAAAAGCUCAUUUUAAUUGACUGUUCCCUGAAUCUCAACCACAUGCGGCUCUUAUAGUAUGUCUGCCCUCCAAAACCAAAGCAAUUCCAUUGUAAAUGCACAUGUCCGGGAACAGCAAAGAUUCCAUCGCAGAAGUUCAAGGUUAUCAAGUAAUCUCGCCCUUGUGAUCACUGUGAAUAGUUAAACAAUCUUUUAUGAGUGCUAUCAUUCCUCCAGAUGGUACAAUAGGAUGUUUGCUUUCCUCAAAUGUGUGUUUACAAGAAAUGGACGUCACAUAAAAGGGACCUACGGCAUAGAUCCUGUGUGGCAAGCGGAGCCACAUUAUUCUACAACUUAGUGUGAGGCUGGAGGACUGUGUGACAUCCAUGUCUAAACAAUGAGCUCCUCUGUAAUAGCAUGCUAGCUGCAGGGUCUCUUGAUGCGCCUGCAAACGCGACAUGCCUAAAUAGGCGGGCCCACACAUUCUCAUGAGGGCAAGCAUGUCGCAUGUCCCCCUAGAGAAUGCGUCACAUGUCACUUCUACAAGACAUGAUUGUAUAAGAUAAUGAGUUUUCUAUAUCUGCUAAUGCAGUUGAUUAUCAGGUCUCCGUGUUUCAUUUACUUAUAAUGAAUGUUUUUGCUUGAAAAGCUACUAAAAAUACUUAACAUACUGGUAAAGUAUCUAUUCCCUUAUAACCACUUCAUUUAAUGACAAAUCAUGAAUAAAUCUGAGAGUAUGAAACCGUGCUAACUUUAUACACCACUGUUUGUUCCUCGCUCUGUUUUUGUACG